GGAUUAAAGCUUAGUUGUUGUUGUAUACUAGUUUGGGAUUAACUUAGUUGUUGUUGUUGUAUAAAAUAGAUAUUUUUUUACAAAUUUAUGGGAUAUGAACUCCACAAAUAAAUGAAGAAUAUCUAUAAUGAAAUAUUGGGUAUGAUGUAAGUGAAUGUAAUAUAAUGUAGUCAAAUGUAUAUCUAAUUGGAUUUUGUAUUGAAUUUUUUUUUUGAUUGGGUUCCAUUAUUUCAAUUACAUUCUAUUAAAGACACACUUAUUUGUUUUUCAUUCCUUUCAAGUUCCGUCGCCAUUCACCUAUGCGUUAGAUCAAUA
rnacentral:misc_RNA from 1 species